rnacentral:rRNA from 1 species
AGAGUUGAUCAUGGCUCAGGAUGAACGCUAGCUACAGGCCUAACACAUGCAAGUCGAGGGGUAGCGUGAGGGAAGCUUGCUCCCUGACGACGACCGGCGAAUGGGUGAGUCACGCGUGUCCAACCUGCCCCGUGCCCGGGGAUAGCCCUUGGAAAUGAGGAUUAAGACCCGAUAUGUGGCGCUUCCGCAUGGCGGCGCCAUGAAGCAGGCACGGGAUGGGGACGCGUCGGAUUAGCUUGACGGCGGGGCAACGGCCCACCGUGGCGACGAUCCGCAGGGGUUCUGAGAGGAAGGUCCCCCACACUGGCACUGAGACACGGGCCAGACUCCUACGGGAGGCAGCAGUGAGGAAUAUUGGUCAAUGGGCGGGAGCCUGAACCAGCCAAGUAAGCGUGCAGGACGACGGCCCUACGGGUUGUAAACUGCUUUUCCGGGAGGAUAAGGUGAGCCACGCGUGGUUCAUUGCAGGUAUCCCGGGAAUAAGGACCGGCUAAUUCCGUGCCAGCAGCUGC